GCCCGUGUAGCUCAGCGGCAGAGCAGCGCAUUCGUAAUGCGCGGGUCGUCGGUUCAAGUCCGACCAUGGGCUCCA
rnacentral:tRNA from 1 species